rnacentral:rRNA from 1 species
AUACGGGGGGUGCAAACGUUGCUCGGAAUUAUUGGGCGUAAAGCGCACGUAGGCGGUCCUGUAAGUCGGGUGUGAAAGCCCGGGGCUUAACCCCGGAAGUGCACUCGAAACUGCAAGGCUUGAGUAUGGAAGAGGGUCUCGGAAUUCCCGGUGUAGAGGUGAAAUUCGUAGAUAUCGGGAGGAACACCAGUGGCGAAGGCGGAGACCUGGGCCAAUACUGACGCUGAGGGGCGAAAGCGUGGGGAGCAAACAGGA